ACAUGCAAGUCGAACGAACUCUGGUAUUGAUUGGUGCUUGCAUCAUGAUUUACAUUUGAGUGAGUGGCGAACUGGUGAGUAACACGUGGGAAACCUGCCCAGAAGCGGGGGAUAACACCUGGAAACAGAUGCUAAUACCGCAUAACAACUUGGACCGCAUGGUCCGAGUUUGAAAGAUGGCUUCGGCUAUCACUUUUGGAUGGUCCCGCGGCGUAUUAGCUAGAUGGUGGGGUAACGGCUCACCAUGGCAAUGAUACGUAGCCGACCUGAGAGGGUAAUCGGCCACAUUGGGACUGAGACACGGCCCAAACUCCUACGGGAGGCAGCAGUAGGGAAUCUUCCACAAUGGACGAAAGUCUGAUGGAGCAACGCCGCGUGAGUGAAGAAGGGUUUCGGCUCGUAAAACUCUGUUGUUAAAGAAGAACAUAUCUGAGAGUAACUGUUCAGGUAUUGACGGUAUUUAACCAGAAAGCCACGGCUAACUACGUGCCAGCAGCCGCGGUAAUACGUAGGUGGCAAGCGUUGUCCGGAUUUAUUGGGCGUAAAGCGAGCGCAGGCGGUUUUUUAAGUCUGAUGUGAAAGCCUUCGGCUCAACCGAAGAAGUGCAUCGGAAACUGGGAAACUUGAGUGCAGAAGAGGACAGUGGAACUCCAUGUGUAGCGGUGAAAUGCGUAGAUAUAUGGAAGAACACCAGUGGCGAAGGCGGCUGUCUGGUCUGUAACUGACGCUGAGGCUCGAAAGUAUGGGUAGCAAACAGGAUUAGAUACCCUGGUAGUCCAUACCGUAAACGAUGAAUGCUAAGUGUUGGAGGGUUUCCGCCCUUCAGUGCUGCAGCUAACGCAUUAAGCAUUCCGCCUGGGGAGUACGGCCGCAAGGCUGAAACUCAAAGGAAUUGACGGGGGCCCGCACAAGC
rnacentral:rRNA from 1 species